rnacentral:lncRNA from 1 species
GUGCCUGAUACAGUGUCACCUGCAUAGUGGGACACUGCAGACGUGUUUUCAGUUGCUUUUCACUCUCUGGAAUUUUAUGCAAUGACUAUGGCCAAGAACCUUUGGACUAUCUCUCUCUGGUCAAGCAAAAAGGAUAGGAGAAAAAGUCCUUUGAAAAUUAAACCUACCUGGUGCUAGCUGGUAGCCAAUCCAGUGAAACUUCUGACCCACCUCCUACCCCUUAGACCCUGCCUUCAUCUUUGGGGUUUGGGGUUUUUAUACAGUCGUAGAGCGGCAGAGAAGGUGUCUGUCUGGUGUGUGUAGGGCUUCUUGCUAUUUCAAAUUCUUUGAAGAAGAAUGCUUGUUUCCUUCAGUUUAUUAAACUAGCUCAGUUAAACAUACCAGUCUUCAAGCCCUGUGAUGCAUGAGUACUCAAUGUAUUUUUAAAUUAAAAAAAAAAAUCAAUUGUGCUGCCCCCUUUCUCCCUCUGCCUCCUCCCUGUCUGUCUCACUUUAUUGUGAGACACUGAGAGUAGAGUGUGUGUGAGUGUGUGUGUGUGUGUGUGUGUGUGUGUGUGUGUGUGUGUGUCUGGGAGGAAGACAGACUCCCUACCUGUAAAUGGCUUGCUAUUAUUAGACGUUCAGUUACCAGGGGUUAUGUAAGACAAUUGAAGCUCUGUUUUUUAACAGAGACAUGAUUCAUGCUGCUUGUAGUAACAGUAACCACCUCCAAACGAGACAGAAACCAGACGCAGACAAAGGCUGGAGAAAUCAAUGCCGACUCGGUACAGCCAUUCUGCUGAUACCCUCUGCCUUUCAAUCAGAGCAGCACUUAGGUUAUCAGGAGAGGAGGCUCCUGCUUCUUCUGGGCCUUUUCCGGCUCCUGGGGCUGCCAGUCUCUUGUGCCCUACCACCACUUCUCUGCGGAUUACGCCUUCGAGUUACCCUACCUUUACCAAAUUUCCGAUGCCUCAGAUUAUGA